AGAACGAACGCUGGCGGCAGGCUUAACACAUGCAAGUCGAACGCUCGUAGCAAUACGGGAGUGGCAGACGGGUGAGUAACGCGUGGGAACGUACCCUCCGGUUCGGAAUAGCUCAGGGAAACUUGGAUUAAUACCGGAUACGGCUGAGAGGCGAAAGAUUUAUCGCCGGAGGAUUGGCCCGCGUUCGAUUAGCUUGUUGGUGAGGUAAUGGCUCACCAAGGCGAUGAUCGAUAGCUGGUCUGAGAGGAUGAUCAGCCACAUUGGGACUGAGACACGGCCCAAACUCCUACGGGAGGCAGCAGUGGGGAAUAUUGGACAAUGGGCGCAAGCCUGAUCCAGCCAUGCCGCGUGAGUGAUGACGGCCUUAGGGUUGUAAAGCUCUUUCGCUCGGGACGAUAAUGACGGUACCGAGAUAAGAAGCCCCGGCUAACUUCGUGCCAGCAGCCGC
rnacentral:rRNA from 1 species